rnacentral:rRNA from 1 species
AAUUGGAGGGCAAGUCUGGUGCCAACAGCCGCGGUAAUUCCAGCUCCAAUAGCGUAUAUUAAAGUUGUUGCAGUUAAAAAGCUCGUAGUUGAAUUUCGGGGUCAGUAGAUUGGUCGUGCCACUGGUAUGUACUGGUCUUACUGGCUCCUCCUUCCUGAUGAACCGUAAUGCCAUUAAUUUGGUGUUGCGGGGAGACUGGACUGUUACUUUGAAAAAAUUAGAGUGUUUAAAGCAGGCUAACGCUUGAAUACAUUAGCAUGGAAUAAUGAAAUAGGACGUUCGAUCUUAUUUUGUUGGUUUCUAGGAUUGACGUAAUGAUUAAUAGGGAUAGUUGGGGGCAUUAGUAUUCAAUUGUCAGAGGUGAAAUUCUUGGAUUUAUUGAAGACUAACUACUGCGAAAGCAUUUGCCAAGGAUGUUUUCAUUAAUCAAGAACGAAAGUUAGGGGAUCGAAGACGAUCAGAUACCGUCGUAGUCUUAACCAUAAACUAUGCCGACUAGGGAUCGGAUGAUGUUAAUUUUUUAAUGACUCAUUCGGCGCCUUACGGGAAACCAAAGUGU